CUAAUUAAAAGCCCUGAUUUCAUUAGCAAGCACUUUAACCAGGAAAAUAAUAAUGGUCGUCUCCUUGUUCAGCAUUAUAUUUCUGACAUUGAUAGAUAUGCUAUCGCUCUUUUCCCUGAUGAAACACUUGCUGACAUACCACCUUUGCAUGAAAAUCUUGGUCAUCUAUAGAGUCUAAAAGAUAUAGGAAAUGUUGUUGGCCCCAUUGACGACAUAUUUUUGUUGCACAUUCCUGGGUAUUAUAGCAACAGUGACCGUAUGGCUUUGUGGAACCCUGCUAUGAGAGAGUUCAACCGCCUCCAUGUACUUGAACCUAUCUUUCCCCUGAAUUUUCAUGCCCUUACAAGUGUGGUUGGAUUUGGGUUGGACCCAUUGACUAGGGAUUACAAGAUUAUUUGGAUUCGCUACUUUGUUGAAAGGAUUGGUGAUGAAACAUAUGAUAUAGACUAUCCUUAUCAUGUUGCUGCAAUAUACACUCUAAGUAAAGAAUCGUGGAGGCAUUUCGAUCUUCUUACAAUACCUAAAGACCGCAAUAUCUAUAAUUCUUUGUGUGCCACAUGCAUAAAUAAAGCAUAUUAUUGGUUGUCUGGUUUGGAUUAUAGUGAACAUAGGAUCCUUCCAUUUCACAUGCGGCUGAAGGAAUUUAGAGAGAAAGAAGGGCCUGAUCAUCCUGAACCUCAAUGGGGGUUUCUUUCAUUAUACAAUGAUUCUAUUGGUCUGUUCCUUUGUCAAACUGGUGUGAUUUUGCAAUCUAUUAUUGAUAUAUGGGUGAUGGAGGAGGAAGGGUGUUGGACCAAACUAAUAACAGUAAAUCCCUUUCCAGAAGUUUUUCUUCCGCGUGAGUUUUGGAAGGAGGAGCUUUUGUUUGAAAGUUAGACGAAUGAGCUAGUGUUGUAUAACCUUGAAACCUAUGAGAUGAGAAAUCUUGAGAUCUACGGAUGUGGCAAUGCUCUUGGGCUUUGGGCUAUAUGUUACAAGGAGAUCUUAGUUUCAGUGUUUGGACAAAAUGAUGAAGAGGGGCUACCAAUUCUCUAAUGCGGUUCAUGACUUCUUUAUUGUUGGUUGCUGCACGAGCUUAGCAUCUCCAACGCAUGAGGCAAAUGGAGAGAAUUAGGUAUUUUACCUAUUGAAGCUGCAUUUCUAGGGUUCCAACGCAUGAGGCAAAUGGUGAGGCAUUUUGCCCAUUCUCGUUUUGGUUCUCCACAGGUAGCCAGCCUCCAUUGCUAGGCAAAGUGUGUUCUCGCCAACUCAGGUGACUCUCUUUCUCUUUUCUCUCUCUUUCUCCCUUUCCUGUUCUUCCCCAUCAACGAUCUCUCUCAACUCACCUCUUGCACUACGAAACCCUUCCCCUUCUGUUUGAUCUCGCUAAGCUUAGUUUACUUCUUGCGAUUCAAGAAGAUUCAAGAGGUCUGAACAUUGGAUUUCAAGGUCAGAACUCUUUGAACUCUAAAUUAAUACAUUAGCUUCACUUUGAUUUCUUUCUUUGUUUCCUGGUAUGUUUGUCAUCAAUUUAUUCGACUCAAUGAGGUUCCUCUUAAUGUUUAUAAUAGUUUUCUUUUAAAAAUUAGUUAAGUUAGUUUGAUUGGUUAGCUAAAAUAAAGAGUAUGAUUGGAGUGUACAUUAGUUAAACUAGCUAGGCAAAAUAAAGAAGGUAGUUUUCUGUGUACUUUGAGGAGGCAUUUUAGAGAGUAUGGUUGGAGAUGCUGCGUCUAGGAAUCCAAAUCCCGAAUAACUUAUUUAUUCUUGUCUUGAUUGUCUAUCUUCGGACUCACUCUGUUUUACUGUGGGUAUGUUUUCUCAUUAGUUUAUUCUCUGUUUUGAAAAAUACUACUUUUUUAUGGAUGCUGAAAUUAAUAAUUUUUGUAAUGACUCGGAUUUAUUUUUUUUAAAUCAUUACAUAAUUUAAUUGAAUGGUUGUCGCAACCCGUGAUUAGUGAUAUUUGUUUUAUAUGAAAAGAUCAUUUGUAAAUGGGUUUAUAAUAAUUGAAAAACAGUUCUUUAUUUGUUACAUAAGUUUGGGGUGAAAUUUGUGUCUCUCGAGUUGAAGACCUUGCUUUUGUAAAAUUUUAAAAAUAGUAGUAUAGCUCAAACACUAACGAAAAUUUUAUGAAGUGUUUAUGCAUGAGUAUUUAUUUUCUGAAAAUUUAAGAAUUGAACAGUGUUUAGUUUAAUGUACAGUAGAAUUUUUGUGUUGAGAUUUGAUAUUAAAAUCAUGACUUGAGGUAAAACUUAUUUGGUUUAGUUUUGUAUAUAUUUGGGGCAUGUUUAGUUAGUUCAUGGGUGGAAAUUUAAUUCAAGAGCCAUAAUUUAGAAUCAAUUUAAUUUGAGUUCAUGUAAUACAUGUUUAAUUGUUUGGUCCUUUUUAAUUAUAUGAAUGGAAAGUACCACUUCGAGAGUUGUUAUUAUUUGUUAUAUUGUAUUAUAAUAAAUGUUUGAAAUGUGAAUUUAUGGUGUGUUUUAUCAAACGGAAAAUAAAUUUUGUGAUGAGACAAAUUAUAUUAUUUUAUAUUACAAAAUAUUAAAAUGUUGUUAAAAUAAUUUUAAUUGAUGUAUAUAUAUAGAUAUAUGUAUAAAUUAAAAAUAAAUAAAUAAAUAAAAAUAAUAAAAAAAGGAAGAGGCAACCCACGUAGGGCUGCCCCCACCCCCCUUCCUUUUUACCUUUUCUUUGCUCCUUUUGCUUCAUUUUCUUUUCCUUUGCCAGAGAGUUGGUUCCGUCUCUCUAGCUCUCCAAUUUCCAUUAUUGUUGCUCAAGCUUUGAGUUUAGAGUGGAAAUCCUUAGAGCGAGAUUUUGCACAAUCUUUGUAAAUGGAAGUUGGAGAGCCCGCUGCACUCUUCACACCGGUAGUCUUGGAUUCUUGAUCCGACAAGCUUGCAUUUCAGAUUUGUUUUUCUUCAUAUUUUGAGGAAAUUGAGAUGCACGUGUUAUGGAAUGUGGUUGUGCUAUUUAGAGGUAACGCGAUCCUUCCGGCUAGCAACCGGUAAAGCGGGCUGAUGUGCUAUAUACAGGUAAUGCGUUCCUUCCGACUAGCAACCAGUAAAGCAGGCAAACGUGGGUCUUGGGGAGACCACGAUGGUAAUGUGGGGCUUGGCGAGACGUUAAGUUGUUUAUUUUAUUACGAAAUUUUAUUGCUAAUGUGUGUAUAUUUGUAGAGAUUAUUGUUGACGAAAAUAUGUAUUGAGAAUAUAGUUGAAGUUGUGUUAUGAGGUGAAUUGAUUCUAUUGAGAAUACAAUUGUUAUGUUUAUUAGUGUUGUUUGAUGUAAAUGAGUAGCACGAGAGUAUAAAGGAUUAAUUGUGGAUUGAUUUUGAAAAUAAACAACGUGAUGAAAUCAUUUGGAUUAUAAAAGAUGAGUCAUAGAGUUGCCGAAAUGGUUAUUGUGUGUGAUAUUCGAGAUGUGACUUCGGUUUGGAAAUCUUUUGAAUUGAAAAUAAUGAGUUACGAAGGUCUGAAAAAUGCAUUUUUCUUGAAAUGAUAAAGAAUGAUUUUUUUGAGAAAAGUAUACAUAUGUAUGUAUAUUUUGGAUAUGCAAAACAACACUAUCUAUGUAUAUUUAUUGAGCUAAAGCAUUCAUGAUCAUAUAUAUCUAUAUUUUACUAUUGUUUAGAAUCACUGGGAUCUCUACUGGACAUUAGUGUUCAUCCCACGUUGUUAACCAUUUUUCAAGUGAGAAGUUUGGAAUAUUGUUCAAGACCAUAGAGUCUCCUUAUUUGUUGACCACGGGGUCUAUUACUUGUAGGCGGAAUGCCAUCUUAUUGUAAUAAGGGUUGAUCCCUUUUUAUUUAUUUGUUUUGUUUUAUUUUCUUCUAUGUAAGCCUAAGGGCACAUGUUAUAAAUUAUUAUUAUUGAAUAGUUUAUCAUC